AUUGAACGCUGGCGGCAUGCCUUACACAUGCAAGUCGAACGGUAACAGAUCUUCGGAUGCUGACGAGUGGCGAACGGGUGAGUAAUACAUCGGAACGUGCCCGAGAGUGGGGGAUAACGAGGCGAAAGCUUUGCUAAUACCGCAUACGAUCUCAGGAUGAAAGCAGGGGACCGCAAGGCCUGGCGCUCCCGGAGCGGCCGAUGGCAGAUUAGGUAGUUGGUGGGAUAAAAGCUUACCAAGCCGACGAGCUGUAGCUGGUCAGAUAGGACGACCAGCCACAAUGGGACUGAGACACGGGCAAGACGCCUACGGAGGGCAGCAGUGGGGAAUUUUCACCGCUGGGAGCAAGCCUGAUCCAGCCAUGUGGAGUGCCGGAUGAAGGCAUUCUGGUUCUAAACUGCUUUUGUACGGAACGAAAAGACUAUGGUUAAUACCUGGGGUCCAUGACGGUACCGUAAGAAUAAGCACCGGCUAACUACGUGCCAGCCGCCGCGGUAACAC
rnacentral:rRNA from 1 species